GCUUCUGAGCGAGUACAGAGUGCCCACACUAAGCGUGUCCCCUCAGAACUUCAUUUGACAAUCUCUAGGGUGCCCAGAAGGACGCUGAAGAGCCGGUUCUCCAACAAGCGGGCGGCUGGCCUUUAUCUCUCAGAAGAGGAAAGUUUUCUUAAAUGAUUUUCUGAAUUUCCAACACUUCGUACUGUUGCCAACUCUAGGAUGGGACAUUUCUGGAGAUCUGUCUGUUGAUUGUCAUCUUGGGGACCCUAUUUUGGUGGAAAGGAGGCACAUAAAUAUUAUUCUGCAGACCUGAAGCUUUUGUAUAAAGAUUGGUUUUGUCUGCUCAUGGCCCCAAUCUCUGGAUUUAGAUAUAUUGGUAUACUUUAUAUACACAAAAUAUUUUUGUA